CCUACGGGGGGCAGCAGUGAGGAAUAUUGGUCAAUGGACGAGAGUCUGAACCAGCCAAGUAGCGUGAAGGAUGACUGCCCUAUGGGUUGUAAACUUCUUUUAUAUGGGAAUAAAAUGUUCCACGUGUGGGAUUUUGUAUGUACCAUAUGAAUAAGGAUCGGCUAACACCGGGCCAGCAGCCGCGGUAAUACGGAGGAUCCGAGCGUUAUCCGGAUUUAUUGGGUUUAAAGGGAGCGUAGGUGGAUUGUUAAGUCAGUUGUGAAAGUUUGCGGCUCAACCGUAAAAUUGCAGUUGAAACUGGCAGUCUUGAGUACAGUAGAGGUGGGCGGAAUUCGUGGUGUAGCGGUGAAAUGCUUAGAUAUCACGAAGAACUCCGAUUGCGAAGGCAGUUCACUGGACUGCAACUGACACUGAGGCUCGAAAGUGUGGGUAUCAAACAGGAUUAGAUACCCCUGGUAGUC
rnacentral:rRNA from 1 species